rnacentral:rRNA from 1 species
AACGAACGCUGGCGGCAUGCCUAACACAUGCAAGUCGAACGAUUGCCUUCGGGUGAUAGUGGCGCACGGGUGCGUAACGCGUGGGAAUCUGCCCUUGGGUUCGGAAUAACAGCUGGAAACGGCUGCUAAUACCGGAUGAUAUCGCGAGAUCAAAGAUUUAUCGCCUGAGGAUGAGCCCGCGUUGGAUUAGGUAGUUGGUGGGGUAAAGGCCUACCAAGCCGACGAUCCAUAGCUGGUCUGAGAGGAUGAUCAGCCACACUGGGACUGAGACACGGCCCAGACUCCUACGGGAGGCAGCAGUGGGGAAUAUUGGACGAUGGGCGCAAGCCUGAUCCAGCAAUGCCGCGUGAGUGAUGAAGGCCCUAGGGUUGUAAAGCUCUUUUACCCGGGAAGAUAAUGACUGUACUGGGAGAAUAAGCCCCGGCUAACUCCGUGCCAGCCGCCGCCGUAA